UACGGAGGGUGCGAGCGUUGUCCGGAAUCACUGGGCGUAAAGGGCGCGUAGGUGGCCCGUUAAGUGGCUGGUGAAAUCCCGCGGCUCAACUGCGGGGCUGCCGGUCAGACUGGCGAGCUAGAGCACGGUAGGGGCAGAUGGAAUUCCCGGUGUAGCGGUGGAAUGCGUAGAGAUCGGGAAGAAUACCAGUGGCGAAGGCGUUCUGCUGGGCCGUUGCUGACACUGAGGCGCGACAGCGUGGGGAGCAAAC
rnacentral:rRNA from 1 species